CUUGUACUGAUUGAGAUUUUAACACGAAGUGAGUGGCGAACGGGUGAGUAACACGUGGGUAACCUGCCCAGAAGUAGGGGAUAACACCUGGAAACAGAUGCUAAUACCGUAUAACAGAGAAAACCGCAUGGUUUUCUUUUAAAAGAUGGCUCUGCUAUCACUUCUGGAUGGACCCGCGGCGUAUUAGCUAGUUGGUGAGGUAAAGGCUCACCAAGGCAGUGAUACGUAGCCGACCUGAGAGGGUAAUCGGCCACAUUGGGACUGAGACACGGCCCAGACUCCUACGGGAGGCAGCAGUAGGGAAUCUUCCACAAUGGACGCAAGUCUGAUGGAGCAACGCCGCGUGAGUGAAGAAGGGUUUCGGCUCGUAAAGCUCUGUUGUUAAAGAAGAACGUGGGUAAGAGUAACUGUUUACCCAGUGACGGUAUUUAACCAGAAAGCCACGGCUAACUACGUGCCAGCAGCCGCGGUAAUACGUAGGUGGCAAGCGUUAUCCGGAUUUAUUGGGCGUAAAGCGAGCGCAGGCGGUCUUUUAAGUCUAAUGUGAAAGCCUUCGGCUCAACCGAAGAAGUGCAUUGGAAACUGGGAGACUUGAGUGCAGAAGAGGACAGUGGAACUCCAUGUGUAGCGGUGAAAUGCGUAGAUAUAUGGAAGAACACCAGUGGCGAAGGCGGCUGUCUGGUCUGCAACUGACGCUGAGGCUCGAAAGCAUGGGUAGCGAACAGGAUUAGAUACCCUGGUAGUCCAUGCCGUAAACGAUGAUUACUAAGUGUUGGAGGGUUUCCGCCCUUCAGUGCUGCAGCUAACGCAUUAAGUAAUCCGCCUGGGGAGUACGACCGCAAGGUUGAAACUCAAAAGAAUUGACGGGGGCCCGCACAAGCGGUGGAGCAUGUGGUUUAAUUCGAAGCUACGCGAAGAACCUUACCAGGUCUUGACAUCUUCUGACAGUCUAAGAGAUUAGAGGUUCCCUUCGGGGACAGAAUGACAGGUGGUGCAUGGUUGUCGUCAGCUCGUGUCGUGAGAUGUUGGGUUAAGUCCCGCAACGAGCGCAACCCUUAUUACUAGUUGCCAGCAUUAAGUUGGGCACUCUAGUGAGACUGCCGGUGACAAACCGGAGGAAGGUGGGGACGACGUCAAAUCAUCAUGCCCCUUAUGACCUGGGCUACACACGUGCUACAAUGGAUGGUACAACGAGUCGCGAGACCGCGAGGUUAAGCUAAUCUCUUAAAACCAUUCUCAGUUCGGACUGUAGGCUGCAACUCGCCUACACGAAGUCGGAAUCGCUAGUAAUCGCGGAUCAGCAUGCCGCGGUGAAUACGUUCCCGGGCCUUGUACACACCGCCCGUCACACCAUGAGAGUUUGUAA
rnacentral:rRNA from 1 species